rnacentral:rRNA from 1 species
AACGUAGGAGACAAACGUUAUCCGGAGUUACUGGGCGUAAAGGGCGUGUAGGCGGUUAGUUAAGUCUGGCGUGAAAGCUCUCGGCUAAACCGGGAGAGGUCGUUGGAUACUGGCAAACUAGAGGACGGUAGAGGCGUGUGGAAUUCCGGGUGUAGUGGUGAAAUGCGUAGAGAUCCGGAGGAACACCAGUGGCGAAGGCGGGUCUCUGGGCCGAUACUGACGCUGAGGAGCGAAAGCGUGGGGAGCGAACAGG